GAGCCAUUAGCUCAGYUGGKAGAGCAUCUGACUUUUAAUCAGAGGGUCAGAGGUUCGAAUCCUCUAUGGCUCA
rnacentral:tRNA from 1 species